rnacentral:rRNA from 1 species
UACGUAGGGGGCAAGCGUUGUCCGGAUUUAUUGGGCGUAAAGAGCUCGUAGGCGGUUUGUUGCGUCGGCUGUGAAAUCCCGAGGCUCAACCUCGGGUCUGCAGUCGAUACGAGCAAACUAGAGUGUUGCAGGGGAGACUGGAAUUCCUGGUGUAGCGGUGAAAUGCGCAGAUAUCAGGAGGAACACCGGUGGCGAAGGCGGCUCUCUGGAACGGUACUGACGCUGAGACGCGAAAGCGUGGGGAGCAAACAGG